GCGUAGGGUGCAGGCGUUAAUCGGAAUUACUGGGCGUAAAGCGUGCGCAGGCGGCUUCCUAAGUCAGAUGUGAAAUCCCCGGGCUCAACCUGGGAACUGCGUUUGAAACUGGGAGGCUAGAGUGCGGCAGAGGGGGGUGGAAUUCCACGUGUAGCAGUGAAAUGCGUAGAUAUGUGGAGGAACACCGAUGGCGAAGGCAGCCCCCUGGGCCAGCACUGACGCUCAUGCACGAAAGCGUGGGGAGCAAACAGGA
rnacentral:rRNA from 1 species